CAGCAGGGUUGGCUCAGGAUCCAAUGGAUCCCAUGCUGGCUCAGCCCCUUCCGCAUUUGGGGGGGUUCAACGCUAGCUGUUGCUAACAGAGAUAGUGAGAUAACUCAUGCAGCAGAAGUUGCCCCCAGUUACUGUCACCACACAGAGGCAGCUUAUGGUCCAAAAUAGUUUACUGCUGCAGAAAAUCAGGCUUCAGUAAUACAGCCCCGGACAGCCUGUAGGCUUUGUAGAUAGAGAUAUGUACAAAUAGAAAACAUUUAUGUUGCUCUAGCAAUCUGGCCUUCCAGAUGUUGGGUU